rnacentral:siRNA from 1 species
UUCACUCGACCAAUCACUCUAC